rnacentral:rRNA from 1 species
AGAGUUUGAUCCUGGCUCAGAACGAACGCUGGCGGCAGGCUUAACACAUGCAAGUCGAACGCUCGUAGCAAUACGGGGAGUGGCGGACGGGUGAGUAACGCGUGGGAACGUGCCCUGAGGUACGGAAUAACUGCGGGAAACUGCAGCUAAUACCGUAUGAGCCCCGCAAGGGGGAAAGAUUUAUCGCCUUGGGAGCGGCCCGCGUCGGAUUAGCUAGUUGGUGGGGUAACGGCCUACCAAGGCUUCGAUCCGUAGCUGGUCUGAGAGGACGAUCAGCCACACUGGGACUGAGACACGGCCCAGACUCCUACGGGAGGCAGCAGUGGGGAAUCUUGCGCAAUGGGGGCAACCCUGACGCAGCCAUGCCGCGUGAAUGAUGAAGGCCUUAGGGUUGUAAAGUUCUUUUGCCCGUGACGAUGAUGACGGUAACGGGAGAAUAAGCUCCGGCUAACUUCGUG